AGUGGGGUCAGCCUCGAUCCCAGUGCUUCACGUGAGCAGCCUUUCCCAGGUAGGGCUGCUCUUGUGAAUCGCCUUCUUGAUUUCCCUUGGAAAAGCAUCUAUUGUUAUUGGCCAAAACACUUGGCAGAAACUACAAAGAUACACAGAAAAGUUAUUAACUGAAAAGAGUAAUUAAAAUUUGUCCUGCACCUGCGUGGCACACCUAUCUGGACAAAAACAUAGGAAUUUUGACUAUAUUUUUGGACUGCUAAACAGCAUCUUGUAGUUUUCUUUGCAUCUGUUUUGCGUGGCAUCUAAGUUGCUUAGUGAACAGUAGGUUUCAUAAUGGUAUUGUUGUGAUUAAUAUCUGCAGCUGCUUGCCUCUGUGCAGGGGACAGCAAAAACAAGAGAAGGCUAUGUGGCUGCUGCUGCUGCAACAUUUGAGGAUGUCCAGAACAAAGCUGCUGUGCAAGUCUGUAAUAGGAUUGUUUGUUUGUUUGUUUUAAAAUGUCUAUACUGCCUUUUAACCAAAAAAUUUCCAUUGCAUAACAAAUGUCUAUACUGCCUGUAGGAUUCCAUAGGCGAAUGGCCAAGGAUUUGAACAGCAGUUCUCCAGUAGCAUCGUCUGGAGCCUACCAGCCAGGUAUGACAGUAUUGUCCUAUAUAGAGAUGUAGCGAGGUUGAAGAUGGUCCUGGGACAAGAUAUGAGCAUGUCCUCUGCCUGCACUGCCUCUAUCACCCAUCUGCCUGCCAUCAGCAGCCUGCCUUUGCUGAGCACUCUGCUUGACUCCAACCCUGCACCAGCCACGCCCUGUCAGUGUCAUUAAAAACCAUAUGGAUGAGCUGGAAGGACAAAUAGAAGGUCUCUGG